ACUUUUAUAGGAUAGGAGUAAUCCGUUGGUCUUAGGAAUCAAAAACUUGGUGCAACUCCAAAUAAAAGUA
rnacentral:tRNA from 1 species